rnacentral:tRNA from 1 species
CGCUCGGUAGCUUAGUUGGUAAAGCAGUUGUCUAGCGUAAAAGUCGUGAGUUCAAAUCUCACCUGAGCUG